AAAGUUUCACUCUGUGUCUCUAUUCGUCUUCUUUCGUUCUCUAUCUGCGUUGUGCUUCAUCUUCUGAUUUCUUCUAAGAAAAUUGGGGAUUCUUCCAGGUUUUUUGGGGUUCCUUUGGCUUCUCUUUAUUCGUUGUUGAAUACGAAAAUUGGGGGAUUUCAUUGUUUGUUCUUCAAUAAGAAAAUUUGGGGUUUUGCUAGGUUUUUCUCUCGCUGACAUAAACACAAGAUUGAAAGAUGUCGACCAAUAAGAAGCAUUUACCGUCACCUUGCUGUCCGCAGAAAAAAAAAGCAACAGUACUCAGCAGAAAUAGUCUCUAAAAUUAACUGUAGGAGAUGUGAUCUGUACAGGCAAUUAUCAGUUGAUAAAAGAGAGUUGCUUUUACCGCAACGAUGAUAAAAAAAGCUUGAAUUAAUAAAGGGUCAAAACGCACUGCUUGAAUAUACCAAACAAACUGCUGGGUUUGAGUUAUCUACACAAAAAACUCUGACGAUAGCUGACCCACCAUGUGUUACUGGGACAGGUUAGAAACCAAAAAAGAUUUAUUCCAGAAAAAGGGACAUUUACACACACACUUCUUGUAGACACAAAUAUAUGCAUGUAUAUAUGUUUUCUUCUUCGUGACUGUACUUAAAUGCAAUUUGCUCUUGCUAUUUGGAUUCGCAUAUUAGCCAGUAUAUCUUCGGUUACGGAGGCAGUAGCUGAUUGUGACAAAGGAAAAAAUAUUACUGACCACUUCUCCAUUUCCGAACAUGGUUCGACCUCUGGUGUACCCUGUGAAGUGUGAACAGCAUCAUGCAAAUACAUCUACUGUCACAAAUAAAGUUUUGCCUCCAUUUAACCUUAUAACACCGUUUAAUCUUAUAACACCAUUUACUGCUACUCUCUUAUCAACACUAAUGGGAUAUAUUGUUGCAACUAAUAUACACAGGUUAUAGAUAAAAAAUAAUAGGUUGGAACUGGAACAUUAGAGAACUACCAAGUGAUGCAACCAUUUUAAAAACUGUAUCGAACUGUAAUAUUGUGGAGCAAAAAGGUUUGAACUAAGGUUUGACUGCAGGGUAAUAGAGGGAAUAAUGAACCGAUGGUCAAUAGUAGUAUCCACCUAGGGAAGGAGAUUGUAAAGGCUCUCUGUACUAUGGUCACGUGGGUACAUCGAACAAUGGGGAGGUUUUUAAAAAUGAGGCACGUGUGCUGCCUCAUUUUGCUGCUAUAUUAGACUUAAUCAUUUUCUUUUUAACCGAAACAUUUCUUGUAGCGCAAAGUGAUAACAGUAGCCAAUAUGGAGAGAAACUGUCCUUGUUUAUCUUUAUGUCUGGUUUCCCAAAGUUAUUCAAAGAAAUAUUUAUAAUAGGAAUUCAGAGUACAAAAUAUGUCCUGUAUCUUACUUAGAUGUUUAACUUGCAAGUUGGAUAACGUACGGCUUACUUAAAAUAGAAUUUCACUUUUUGCAGGUGUAAAUUUUAGUGACAGAAGUGUAACACUGGUUCCUAACUUAGUGAUGCUUGGGAGGAAAUGGUAGGGGCUGGCAGUUGUUAUUUAAGAGAGUAAGGAUGCAGGGAGUGCCUUUGGGGGGCAACUUUACCUUUACAACUGAAGGCUUAGCAGUAGAAGGAGAUUGUUAGUGGAUAAAUGAGGAUUUCUUUCAUGUACUUUUGACUGUAUACUAGCAGCUUACUUAUAUUUUCAUCCCACUUAAUGCCCUUGCUCUAAGGUUCUUAUAUCCUGAAAUAAGAAAGUGAUUGGCUUACCAAGGUAAGCUUAUUGGAUAAUAA